rnacentral:rRNA from 1 species
AACGUGGGAAUUUGCCCUGGAGUGGGGAAUAACUGCUCGAAAGAGUAGCUAAUACCGCAUACGGUAACUCCUCCUUGUUAAAGAGGAAGAGUAACUAAAGCCCUUUAGAAAUAAAGGGCGCUCGAGGAGAAGCCUGCGUCUGAUUAGCUAGUUGGUGGGGUAAAGGCCUACCAAGGCGGUGAUCAGUAGCUGGUCUGAGAGGACGGUCAGCCACACUGGGACUGAGAAACGGCCCAG